rnacentral:rRNA from 1 species
AUUGAACGCUGGCGGCAUGCCUUACACAUGCAAGUCGAACGGUAACAGGUCUUCGGAUGCUGACGAGUGGCGAACGGGUGAGUAAUACAUCGGAACGUGCCUAGUAGUGGGGGAUAACUACUCGAAAGAGUGGCUAAUACCGCAUGCGAUCUACGGAUGAAAGCUGGGGAUCGCAAGACCUUUAGCCACUAGCGCGGCCGAUGGAAGAUUAGGUAGUUGGUGGGAUAAAAGCUUACCAAGCCGACGAUCUGUAGGUGGUCUGAGAGGACGAUCAGCCACACUGGGACUGAGACACGGCCCAGACUCCUGCGGGAGGCAGCAGUGGGGAAUUUUGGACAAUGGGCGAAAGCCUGAUCCAGCAAUGCCGCGUGCAGGAUGAAGGCCUUCGGGUUGUAAACUGCUUUUGUACGGAACGAAAAGCCCCGGGUUAAUACCCUGGGGUCAUGACGGUACCGUAAGAAUAAGCACCGGCUAACUACGUGCCAGCAGCCGCCGUAA